rnacentral:rRNA from 1 species
GACGAACGCUGGCGGCGUGCUUAACACAUGCAAGUCGAACGGAAAGGCCCUGCUUUUGUGGGGUGCUCGAGUGGCGAACGGGUGAGUAACACGUGAGUAACCUGCCCUUGACUUUGGGAUAACUUCAGGAAACUGGGGCUAAUACCGGAUAGGAGCUCCUGCUGCAUGGUGGGGGUUGGAAAGUUUCGGCGGUUGGGGAUGGACUCGCGGCUUAUCAGCUUGUUGGUGGGGUAGUGGCUUACCAAGGCUUUGACGGGUAGCCGGCCUGAUAGGGUGACCGGCCACAUUGGGACUGAGAUGAGGCACAGACUCCUCCGGGAGGCAGCAGUGGGGAAGAUUGCACUAUGGGAGGAAGCCUGAUGCAGCACAGCCGCGUGCGGGAUGACGGCCUUCGGGUUGUAUACCGCUUUCGCCUGUGACGAAGCGUGAGUGACGGUAAUGGGUAAAGAAGCACCGGCUAACUACGUG